AAAAAGGGCUUCUGCCAUGUUUGGCACAGGGAGAGUGGGGGAAUACCACUCUUCUUGCGGAAUCGAUAUCAAGAGAUUUCGGAAGCAUAAUUUUUGAGAAACGGGGCUGCUGGUGAUCGUACAAGUCCUGGCGCCCCA